AGCGGCUCGACCAGGAAACCCAGGCAGACCCGGUGCGCUCCCGGAAGAAAAAAAAACUCUCCCGAACUGUAAAUCUCCCAUCCCGACCUCACCGGCACCGGCGGCGAGCGCCCCCCAUGGCGGACGGCGGCGAGAUGGACGAGGAGGCCAUGAUGCGCACCUUCUUUCCCACAUCCUUCGGCAAGGCGCCUUCCCGCCCAAGCGCCGCGUCCCACUCCUCCACCCUCCGCAAGCCCCAAAACCCUAGCUCCAGCUCCUCCACCUCCGCCGUCGAGGAGGACGACGGCGUCCUCGUCGGCCCCCCUUUGCCGCCCAGGGACUCAGCUCGUAGCCAGGAGGAUGAAGAGGAGAGUAGACCCAUGAUUGGGCCGCCCCGGCCGCCUGCACAGCUGCCGACGGUGCACGAGGAGGGUGAGGACGAGGACGGCGACAUGGUCGGGCCGCCUCGGCCUCCUCCGCCCAAGGAGGGGGGCGAGGAGGAUGAGGACGAAGAUGAUGACGACGACGAGGAUGACGACGACGACGACGACGAUGACGAUAUGGAGGAUGAUGGGGAGGAUUUCGGCCGGAUUCCUCUUAGCAACGAAAUUGUUCUGCGGGGGCACACAAAGGUUGUCUCAGCCCUUGCUGUUGACCCUACAGGAUCCCGAGUGCUGUCUGGCAGCUAUGAUUAUACUGUACGGAUGUAUGACUUCCAAGGCAUGAACUCGAAGCUACAGUCAUUUAGGCAAUUGGAACCGUGUGAGGGACAUCAAGUUCGUAGCCUGAGCUGGAGUCCAACAUCAGAUCGAUUCUUAUGUGUCACUGGUUCAGCUCAAGCCAAGAUAUACGAUCGGGACGGGCUUUCUCUCGGUGAGUUUGUGAAGGGUGAUAUGUACAUCCGCGAUCUUAAGAACACAAAGGGCCACAUUUCUGGACUAACUGCUGGCGAAUGGAAUCCCAAGUCAAAAGAAACUAUAUUAACUUCAUCAGAAGAUGGGUCGUUACGUCUCUGGGAUGUUUCGGACUUUAGUGGUCAAAAGCAGGUCAUCAAACCUAAGCUAAAAAGACCGAUGCGUAUCCCAGUUACUUCAUGUGCAUGGGAUCAUGAAGGCAAGCGUAUUGUUGCUGGGGUGGGGGAUGGCUCCAUUCAGCUCUGGACCAUAAAGACUGGAUGGGGAAGUAGACCGGAUAUCCAUGUUGAAAAAGCACACACAGAAGAUAUCACUGGGGUCAAAAUUUCUACAGAUGGGCAAAUUCUUCUGUCAAGAAGUAUGGAUAGUACUCUAAAGAUAUGGGAUUUGAGGAAAAUGAAGACUCCUUUGAAAGUGUUCGAAGAUCUGCCAAAUAACUACGCAGAGACAAAUGCAUCAUUUAGCCCAGACGAACAGCUUGUUUUUACAGGAACCUCUGUUGAGAAAGAUGGCAGGAACGGAGGACUACUUUGCUUCUUUGAUAGAAGGAAACUAGAGCUUGUAUCAAGGGUGGGAAUUUCACCACAUUACAGUGUCAUAAGGUCUCUCUGGCAUCCAAGGAUUAAUCAGGUAUUUGCAACAGUUGGGGACAAGAAGGAAGGUGGGACUCAUAUCUUGUAUGAUCCAUCUGUAAGUCAGAGGGGGGCUCUUGUAUGUGUCGGAAGAGCACCGAGGAAAAAGUCUGUUGACGAUUAUGAGGUGCAACCUUUAAUACACAAUCCACAUGCACUGCCUCUAUUCAGAGAUCAACCAAGUCGUAAACGCCAGAGAGAGAAGAUGAUGAAAGACCCCCUCAAAUCGCACAAGCCAGAAGCACCUGUUAAUGGUCCAGGAUUUGGUGGUAAAAUUGGUACAACAAAAGGCAGCUUGCUGACACAGUAUCUCAUGAAGGAAGGUGGUUUAAUCAAGGAGACCUGGAUGGAUGAAGAUCCAAGAGAGGCAAUUCUGAAAUAUGCCGAUGCUGCGAAAAAUGACCCAAAGUUUAUUGCGCCAGCAUAUGCUCAAACUCAGCCAGAAACUGUCUUUGCAGAGUCUGAUUCUGACGGUGAAGAGAAAAAAUAACAUAUGGAUGUAAGCUAUUUGUUUCCAGUAAAAUGAGCUAUGAUACACCAAGAUUCUAUUUUAUGACAGUGAAUCUAAGGCAGUGAUUGUUAAGUUUCUUGCACAAGUCCCACACCAUCCUUCCUUACUGAGGAAAAAAUAGAAUCUGUGGUUUAUAUAAAUCAUAUUAUGCAAUCGAGAGACACAAAGUUCCAGUUUAGGGCUUGGAAAUAACACAACUGAGUUAAAUGCCCAACUUGGAAAAUCGAGAUUCUCAUGGAAGAGUUGUAGCGCAGGAGAACAGCCAAAAUAAGAUGGGCACAUAAAGAUACUUGGCAAGUGAAGAAAUACCAUAUCAGAUUAGGCACGCUGUGUUUUUGCUGUGCGACACUUCACGAGCCAUUUAUGGACAUUACUGGUUAAUCACAGUUGGCACCCUGUUCGUAACGCUGAAACACCAGUGUUAUUGCUUUCACCUCACAGAAAGUCGGUUCUGCCUAGUGCCUGCAGUACGAUUGCAUUGUGAGGUUUUACUUUUUAUUAGACCUUGUUAUAGAGAUUUGUGGCUGGGGUGCAGAGUGCCCAACGAAGACCGCUUUCCUGAUUUCCAGAUGUUAUUCUAGCUUGUGAGCAUUUUAUUGGUUUCA